CUCAAUUGUUUUUGAAAGAAGACCAGAAUUAAGGUUGGAGGGUCUUGCCCAUAAGGUGCUUCAAUGGUACUUGUGUAGAAUGGAAGGCUGGUUUGCUGCUGAUGCUGAUACCAUCUCCCUUAAGUGUUGGGAUCAGGAAGAACUGCUUCCAGGUGGGCAUGGGCUUAUGGUGAGGGGCUACCUUCCUGUCAUAAACACUCUUGCCAAAGGACUUGAUAUCCGCUUGGGCCACAGGGUAACAAAAAUUGUUAGGCAUUAUAAUGGUGUAAAGGUAACAACUGAAACUGGGAGGACAUUUGUGGCAGAUGCUGCUAUUGUUGCUGCUCCUCUUGGAGUGCUGAAAUCCAGGGCCAUAACUUUUGAACCUAGGCUUCCAGAAUGGAAGGAAGAAGCCAUUAAAGACCUUGGAG
rnacentral:misc_RNA from 1 species